UACGCGGCCUAACUAGCCGCGUACGUCCGACCGCCGAGUGCCCGUGUAAGCGGAAGGGCGUCGCCCUAACGGGAUAGCCUAAGUCCCCCUCCCGGGGGGAGGAAGGGCGAAACCCAAACCGGGAUGGUCUGACGGGAACCCUGCCGGCCGGGGUCCCCGAGGACGAGAACGAAAAGACCGGAAACGCACGUAGUAGCCCGGAGUGAAGAGUCUUCGGACGGGGGUUCGACUCCCCCCGCCUCCACCA
rnacentral:tmRNA from 1 species